CCCUUAGAUGUUCUGGGCAGCACGCGCGCUACAAUGGUCUUCGCAAACGGAUGCAUUCUCGAAGGAGAAUGCCAAUCUUGGAAUCUAUGCCUUGGUCGGGACAGUUGCUUGCAAUUUUUCGACUCGAACCAGGAAUUCCUUGUAAUCGUGAUUCAUCACAUCACGAUGAAAACGUCCCUGCCCUUUGUACACACCGCCCGUCGCUCCUACCGAUCGAAGAGUUAGGUGAAUUGUUUUGAUCGAUAAGAUUUGACUAUGGUCAACUCUCGUUGUGAAAUUCUGUGAAUCUGACUGUUUAGAGGAAGGAAAAGUCGUAACA
rnacentral:rRNA from 1 species